UAUUAAAAAUUUUAUCCAUUUCUACUGCUAAAAAUUGGCGUUGCUGACAAAAUAACCAAAUAGUUAAAUGUGGCUUGCCGCGUGUGCCUCAUUUUAACAUACAUAGACCAAUUUUUAAUAGUAGAAAUUGAUGAAUUUUUUAACA
rfam:Gossypium arboreum cultivar AKA8401 contig_509_3, whole genome shotgun sequence.